UACAGAGAGUGCGAACGUUGUUCGGAAUUACUGGGCUUAAAGCGCACGUAGGCGGCGCCGCAAGUGUGGAGUGAAAUCCCACGGCUUACCCGUGGAACUGCUUGGCAGACUGCGGUGCUAGAGGAUGGUAGGGGAGAGCGGAACUCCUGGUGGAGCGGUGAAAUGCGUAGAUAUCAGGAGGAACACCGGUGGCGAAGGCGGCUCUCUGGUCCAUUACUGACGCUGAGGUGCGAAAGCUAGGGGAGCAAACAGG
rnacentral:rRNA from 1 species